UUAUAAUACAAUCAAUUUGAUUGUUUACAAAUGCUAGAGAUGGAUGAACAAUGUUUAGAAGUGUGAAGAAAAACUUGUUGAAAUUUGGUCACAAAUGGGAUAAGAACCCACAACCAUUGCUUUGUGGAAGUAAAUGGCUUGUCUAAAGUUUUUCUGGGUUAGAAUAUGUUACAAUACAAUGAAUUUGAUUGAUUACAAGUGAUAGAGAUAGAUGAAGAGUGUUUAGA
rnacentral:lncRNA from 1 species